rnacentral:lncRNA from 1 species
GCCACUUACCAAAUCUUUGCACCUAGUAGAUAGAUCAAUGUAAAAACAAAUACCAGAAACCUAACUGUACAGUGAGUUGGGGGAAAUGUAGUAACCUAGUUAGUAGUCCUCAAUAUAACCAAUUGUACAAGGGGAAGUGGUGUUUACCUACUUGUUCAUCACCAUUAUUGAAAGCUGUACUGAUCAGUUAGUUGAUAACGGCAUUUUCUCUUUCUUUUUUUCUUUUUUGGGCUUCACGGAAUGAUUUCUUAACCUUCAACUUAUCCCUAGGUCAAGCCUUUGCUUUUCUGUGUAACUGAUGUGCAGUCUGUUUUAGGAAUGAACCAGCAAGAUGUUCAUUUAAAACUGACCAAAGACAGUUAAUUCCUGGUCUAGUUUCCUGGGCCACCUGGCCCUGCUGCCACUAAAGACCUUUCUGGGAUAAAAUUGAGAACAAGCUGUAAGCCACCUCCACUCUCCUUCCCCACCCUCCCUUACUUCCUUUUCUCUUAAAGUGCUGCUCUGAGCUGUGGGAUUCUAUGAAAAAUCCUUGCCUUUCCUUGUUUUCAGUGCUAACGAUUUCUCACCUCGAAGCGCCUUUUGAACCCUGGGCAGAGCACACAAUUGGAGGGAAUUGUGGGCUUGGGAAUUAGUCUUGGGAGUCUUUUAUCUGAAGUCACCAGGGGCCAGGAAAGAAAUGGAUUCCCAAGGGAAGGACGGUUUCUAUUCGUGAAGAAACUGGAGUGGGAAGAGACACAGGGAAACUUAGCCAUCUUUUGGCUACCAGCUGGAACCAGAAGUUCAGAGAUCUGCCUUAUAAACAUUUAAAACUGGCUUUGGUACCCAAAAGGGAGCUGUGUGGGGCCAGACUUCCUGCUCUGCCGGCAUCCUUGGAGUGCCUUGGUAGGUGUAGCUCUCUUGUUCAGGAGGCGUGGAUGCAUGUGGAGAACUUCUCGUGACCUGGCCAUGCAUGCUGUGUGGAGAAGACCCUGAGGACUAACACCAUGGCUCUUCCUCUCAGUCUGUCUAUUCCUUGCUUUUCACGUGUCAGAUGGUUCCACACUAGAGCAGAGGCCUCCUUCUCCCGAGGAGCCCAGCAAGGGCCUGGCUGGCUCACAACCAAGGUGGUAGGCUCUGCCCAGUAGGGAGGGGAAGGGCGGUGGGAAGGAGGCAGACAGGGGUGAGCGAGCAUUGCCCGGCUGAUUUUCUGCUGUGCAGAGCAGAGGCUGACGUUUCAUGUCAGCUUCCCUGGCUCUCCGGGGCCCCCUCUCUUCUGAGAAGCCAUGUGGAGAAUUCCCCACACACCCAACGCUGCCAGGGGAGCUGAGAAAGGACUUUGCUGUCAGGUCUGAGUCCUCCCGGCCUCUCUGAGGUUGAUCUGCCAGUAUCCCAUUGUCCCAUUCUCUGGGGUGGCCAAAUGGUCACUGCUGCCCCUGGCUGACACCUCCUGUCUGUGUGAACUGUCCCAGGCAAAAAACAAAGCUGUUCCUUGAACCCAAACAACUUGAGUGCACUUUUCCUUCCUUAGACAGAAGCUGAGCCUGGCUGGAGUUCUGCUCAGGCCCAUGCUCCCGGCAGUGUGACUGUUUACAUGGCUUGGCAGUAGGUUUGGUUCUGAUUGCUUCAGAGUGGCUGGUCUAUUUUGUUUCCUUUGGUUUCCUUCCUCCCCAAAUUGUGACAGGAAAACAAACCAAAACCACCCUAGGGAAUUGCUGGUUGCCUGUCUCCACUUGAUAAGUGUUGCCCUCUUCUGGGUAUUGUUUCUCUACCUUCUAACCAAACGCCCGUCCUCCUAUAGAGUGUCUGAUUGGAUCCUCUGUUUUGUAUUCUGAUGGUGCCUGCUGGUUUGACGUGGAGCUCUCCUGUGAAAUAAAACAGCUUAACUUUUCUCAAA